UCGUCAGCUCGUGUCGUGAGAUGUUGGGUUAAGUCCCGCAACGAGCGCAACCCUUGUCAUUAGUUGCCAUCAUUUAGUUGGGCACUCUAAUGAGACUGCCGGUGACAAACCGGAGGAAGGUGGGGAUGACGUCAAGUCCUCAUGGCCUUUAUGUCCAGGGCUACACACGUGCUACAAUGGGCGGAACAAAGGGUUGCAAUACCGCAAGGUGGAGCUAAUCUCAAAAAACCGCUCUCAGUUCAGAUUGGAGUCUGCAACUCGACUCCAUGAAGGCGGAAUCGCUAGUAAUCGCGGAUCAGCAUGCCGCGGUGAAUACGUUCCCGGGCCUU
rnacentral:rRNA from 1 species